GUUUUUCCAGCGUUCUUGGGAGGUGGGCUGUGCCACUGUCUGGCCCACCUGGCCCACCAUUAUCUGAAGGGAAGCAUGAACAGCCUUUGACGUGGGAGUGGCGACUACUGAGAGGGAACCGUCUGUACACAAGCAAUGUAGCCUUAUGAGACCCGAGUGGAGCCCCAACCCACGCAGGGUGUGUCUUCAUGGCUUUUCCUGGCCAGUCUGAUACCAAGAUGCAGUGGCCAGAAGUGCCUGCACUUCCGCUCCUGUCAAGUCUCCGCAUGGCUGUGGUGAGGAAGAGCUCUGCACUGGGCAAGGAAGUUGGCCGUCGAGUGAAGGAAAUGGUGAUGCUGGCGGCCCCUUUCCUGCAGUCAAGUUCCCUAUCAAGGACAUUCAGUUCUCGGAAAGUGUUGAGGGCACACGCUUCCCUGCAUGGUGCCCGCUUCUCUCCAUUCUCUAGAAAUAUUAGAGGCUAGGCUGCUGCUGUAUGUCAGGGCUAGUCCCUCUUUUAUGAAUCCAGAAUAACUCUGAAGGAGCCCAGUAAAAGGCAUGAAGUGAAGAGAAAUCGCUGUAACAGGAAGACAGCAAAGCAGAUGCUAAUGACUACACUAUUUAACGAACUGGAACCAACAAGAAAAUACGGUAUUACUGAAGACUGCACUUCCUUGAACAGAGUGCUCUUCUCAGCAAAUCGGAAAUGCCUACACAAAUUGCUUUACAAGAAAGACUAUUUCAAAACAGCACCUUUCUCAAUGUUCUCAUUCAGGUGA